UACGUAGGGGGCAAGCGUUGUCCGGAUUUAUUGGGCGUAAAGAGCUCGUAGGCGGUUUCGUAAGUCGGGUGUGAAAACUCUGGGCUCAACCCAGAGACGCCACCCGAUACUGCGAUGACUAGAGUCUGGUAGGGGAUCGUGGAAUUCCUGGUGUAGCGGUGAAAUGCGCAAAUAUCAGGAGGAACACCGGUGGCGAAGGCGGGUCUCUGGCCCGAUACUGACGCUGAGGCGCGAAAGCGUGGGGAGCAAACAGG
rnacentral:rRNA from 1 species